CCGCGGUAAUACGGGGGGCGCAAGCGUUGCUCGGAAUCACUGGGCGUAAAGCGUACGCAGGCGGCGCGUUAAGUCAGGGGUGAAACCCCGGGGCUCAACCCCGGGCCUGCCUCUGAAACUGGGAGACUUGAGUACCCUAGAGGACAGUGGAAUUGCCGGUGUAGCAGUGAAAUGCGUAGAGAUCGGCAGGAACACCAGUGGCGAAGGCGACUGUCUGGGGGGAAACUGACGCUGAGGCGCGAAAGCUGGGGGAGCAAACGGG
rnacentral:rRNA from 1 species